UACGAAGGGGGCUAGCGUUGCUCGGAAUCACUGGGCGUAAAGAGCUCGUAGGCGGUUUGUCGCGUCGAAUGUGAAAUCCCGGGGCUCAACCCCGGGUCUGCAUUCGAUACGGGCAGACUAGAGUUCGGUAGGGGAGUCUGGAAUUUCUGGUGUAGCGGUGAAAUGCGUAGAUAUCAGAAGGAACAUCAGUGGCGAAAGCGGCUUCCUGGACCAGAACUGACGAUCAGGCUCGAAAGCGUGGGGAGCAAACAGG
rnacentral:rRNA from 1 species